rnacentral:rRNA from 1 species
UGGGGAAUAUUGGACAAUGGGCGCAAGCCUGAUCCAGCAAUGCCGCGUGUGUGAAGAAGGCCUGCGGGUUGUAAAGCACUUUCAGUUGGGAGGAAGGACUUGCUAUUAAUAAUAGCGAGUAUUGACGUUACCGACAGAAGAAGCACCGGCUAACUCUGUGCCAGCAGCCGCGGUAAUACAGAGGGUGCGAGCGUUAAUCGGAAUUACUGGGCGUAAAGGGUGCGUAGGUGGUCUUUUAAGUCAGAUGUGAAAACCCUGGGCUCAACCUAGGAAUGGCAUUUGAUACUGGAAGACUAGAGUUCGGAAGAGGAAAGUGGAAUUUCAGGUGUAGCGGUGAAAUGCGUAGAUAUCUGAAGGAACAUCAGUGGCGAAGGCGACUUUCUGGUCCGAUACUGACACU